CCUCCCUCCCUCUCGCGCCCAGCACCUGCGUCGCCCUCCCUCCACCAGCACCACCGCACAACGCACCGCAAUUUCGUCGCCCUCCCUCUCGUCGCCCAGCAUCCGCAAGCCUUCCGCUGCACCGUUCAAAUCCUUCCCCCUAUUUUCUUCUCAGCUCAUAUUUUGGAAGACUUAAAGCAAAACGAAAGUGCUCCUCUCAUUAUUUUCUGGGUUUUCUUUAGAGUGAGAAAUUGCUCCAAAUUUGGUCUUCGUAGCGCCAGCUCUCUUCAACUUCUUUCUGGGUUCUUCCUUGCCUGAAAUUUGGAGGUUGUGGAGUUGAGGCGCCCGAACAAGAAGCAGCAGCUUGAAAAGAGGAACCUUGCUUGCAGGCUUGCUUUUUUGGAGUCUCAAUCGGCUUCUCUUGCUAAGGUUUCUGAGGUACUGUCAAGGCCUAUUCUAGUCCUUCCAAUUGCAACAGCUUUCUCUGAUGAAGCAGAGUGUAGCAGUGGAACCUCAGAUGAUGUCAGUGAUUCUCAUACACAUUCAGAACUAGGUUCGGAGCUGUCCACUGUACAGUCUAAUAUGGAUACAAGUGUGAUACCCAGGACUUCUGAUGAUUCUCCUGAAAGCCUGGCUUCUGAAAACUGGUUGAUACAACUGCAUAACGAGCUGAAAAGUCAAGGGAUUUGUUUGCCAGAAAGGUGGUUUCAAUAUUUUGUACAGUGGAUGAAAAGCCAGAUUGGUGCUAAAAGUAUGCACACUGAAGGAAACAAGAAAAUGAGACUACUUAGAUUAGAAUCUUGGAUUUUGGAAUAUUGGAUUUUAGAAUGAAUAUUAUUAGACUAUUUAGGUUGUAAUAAGCUGCUUUGUAAUAUUGUAUCCAAUUGGAAUGAAUAUUAUGAUUCAAUAUUUUACUAAAUG